rnacentral:rRNA from 1 species
UGGGGAAUAUUGCACAAUGGGCGCAAGCCUGAUGCAGCCAUGCCGCGUGUAUGAAGAAGGCCUUCGGGUUGUAAAGUACUUUCAGUCGGGAGGAAGGUGUCAAGGUUAAUAACCUUGGCAAUUGACGUUACCGACAGAAGAAGCACCGGCUAACUCCGUGCCAGCAGCCGCGGUAAUACGGAGGGUGCAAGCGUUAAUCGGAAUUACUGGGCGUAAAGCGCACGCAGGCGGUUGAUUGAGUCAGAUGUGAAAUCCCCGGGCUUAACCCGGGAAUUGCAUCUGAUACUGGUCAGCUAGAGUCUUGUAGAGGGGGGUAGAAUUCCAUGUGUAGCGGUGAAAUGCGUAGAGAUGUGGAGGAAUACCGGUGGCGAGGGCGGCCCCCUGGACAAAGACUGACGCUCAGGUGCGAAAGCGUGGGGAGCAAACAGG